AGUGAACGCUGGCGGUAGGCCUAACACAUGCAAGUCGAACGGCAGCACAGUAAGAGCUUGCUCUUACGGGUGGCGAGUGGCGGACGGGUGAGGAAUACAUCGGAAUCUACUUUUUCGUGGGGGAUAACGUAGGGAAACUUACGCUAAUACCGCAUACGACCUACGGGUGAAAGCAGGGGAUCUUCGGACCUUGCGCGAUUGAAUGAGCCGAUGUCGGAUUAGCUAGUUGGCGGGGUAAAGGCCCACCAAGGCGACGAUCCGUAGCUGGUCUGAGAGGAUGAUAAGGCACACUGGAACUGAGACACGGGCCAGACACCGACGGGAGGCAGCAGUGGGGAAGAGUGGACAAUGGGCGCAAGCCUGAUCCAGCCAUACCGGGUGGGGGAAGAAGGCCUUCGGGUUGUAAAGCCCUUUUGUUGGGAAAGAAAAGCAGCAGGUGAAUACCCCGCUGUUCUGACGGUACCCAAAGAAUAAGCACCGGCUAACUUCGUG
rnacentral:rRNA from 1 species